rnacentral:rRNA from 1 species
UACAGGGGGGGCAAGCGUUGUUCGGAAUUACUGGGCGUAAAGGGCCAGUAGGCGGCCAACUAAGUCACACGUGAAAUCCCCAGCUUAACCUGGGAACUGCGUGUGAUAUGGAUGGCUUGAAUUCGGGAGAGGGAUGCAGAAUUCCAGGUGUAGCGGUGAAAAUGCGUAGAUAUCUGGAGGAAUACCGGUGGCGAAGGCGGCAUCCUGGACCGACAUUGACGCUGAACGCGAAAGCUAGGGGAGCAAACGGG